rnacentral:rRNA from 1 species
GACGAACGCUGGCGGCGUGCUUAACACAUGCAAGUCGAACGAUGAGGUCCUGCUUUUGUGGGGUGCUAGAGUGGCGAACGGGUGAGUAACACGAGAAAAACCUGCUCUUCACUUUGGUAUAACUGCGGGAAACUGGGGCUAAUACCAGACUGCAGCUCCUGCUGCGUGGUGGGGGGUGGAAAGUUUCCGUGGUUGGGGAUGGACUCACGGCUUAUCAGCUUGUUGGUGGGGUAGUGGCUUACCAAGGCUUUGACGGGUAGCCGGCCUGAGAGGGUGACCGGCCAAAUUGGGACUGAGAUACGGCCCAGACCCCAACGGGGGGCAGCAGGGGGGAAGAUUGAACAAUGGGCGGAAGCCUGAGGCAGCAACGCCGGGUGCGGAAUGCCGGCUUUGGGUUGGUAAACCGCUUUCGCCUGGGACGAAGCGUGAGUGACGGUAAUUGGUAAAGAAGCGCCGGCUAACUACGUG